rnacentral:sRNA from 1 species
UCCAUAUCUUGUUACAAAUUGCAUGGAA